GUUCCACUGUCGACCUUGGCACUUUCUGCUCUGGAUGGUGAUAUGAAUAUAGUCGCAGGUAGAGUAGAAGUGUCGUCCUACUAACAAGUUAAAGUUACACAAGAUCGGCUACAACAGCAUCUUAAAUUUCUUUUGUUUUUUGUUUUUUUAAUCACAAGCACGACUUGCUUCUCAUUUCACUUGUCAUUGGCAGAAUCGUCGACAGUGACAUCGACACGGAUUGCCAUAAAUAAAAAUAGAAUAGAAUAGAACGAAAAAAUAUAUUUUU